UGCAUGUCUAAGUACAUGCCGUAUUAAGGCGAAACCGCGAAUGGCUCAUUAAAUCAGUUAUGGUUCCUUGGAUCGUACCUUACUACUUGGAUAACUGUGGCAAUUCUAGAGCUAAUACAUGCAGCAGAGCUCCGACCCUCUGGGGACGAGCGCUUUUAUUAGACCAAAACCAAUCGGACCUCGUGUCCGUAUCGUGUGGUGACUCUGUAUAACUUUGGGCUGAUCGCACGGGCUCGUCCCGGCGACGUAUCUUUCAAGUGUCUGCCUUAUCAACUGUCGAUGGUAGGUUACGCGCCUACCAUGGUCGUAACGGGUGACGGGGAAUCAGGGUUCGAUUCCGGAGAGGGAGCCUGAGAAACGGCUACCACAUCCAAGGAAGGCAGCAGGAGCAGGCGCGCAAAUUACCCACUCCCAGAACGGGGAGGUAGUGACGAAAAAUAACAAUACGGGACUCUUUUGAGACCCCGUAAUUGGAAUGAGUACACUCUAAAUCCUUUAACGAGGAUCAAUUGGAGGGCAAGUCUGGUGCCAGCAGCCGCGGUAAUUCCAGCUCCAAUAGCGUAUAUUAAAGUUGUUGCGGUUAAAAAGCUCGUAGUUGGAUCUCAGUUCCAGACGGGUGGUCCGCCUACCGGUGGUUACUGCCUGUUCUGAACAGCCAGCCGGUUUCCUUUGAUGAUCUUCACCGGUUGUCUUGGGUGACCGGCAAGUUUACUUUGAAAAAAUUAGAGUGCUCAAAGCAGGCGUGACGCCUGAAUAAUGGUGCAUGGAAUAAUGGAAUAGGACCUCGGUUCUAUUUUGUUGGUUUUCGGAAUACGAGGUAAUGAUUAAGAGGGACAGACGGGGGCAUUCGUAUUGCGACGCUAGAGGUGAAA
rnacentral:rRNA from 1 species